AACGCGAAGAACCUUACCUGGUCUUGACAUGCACUUGACCGCUUCAGAGAUGAAGCUUUCUCGCAAGAGACAGGUGCACAGGUGCUGCAUGGCUGUCGUCAGCUCGUGCCGUGAGGUGUUGGGUUAAGUCCCGCAACGAGCGCAACCCUUGUCGUUAGUUGCCAGCGCGUAAUGGCGGGCACUCUAGCGAGACUGCCUGGGUUAACCAGGAGGAAGGUGAGGAUGACGUCAAGUCCGCAUGGCCUUUAUGACCAGGGCUACACACGUGCUACAAUGGUCGGUACAGAAGGAAGCCAAACCGCGAGGUGGAGCAAAUCCUCAAAGCCGGCCCCAGUUCAGAUUGGAGUCUGCAACUCGACUCCAUGAAGUUGGAAUUGCUAGUAAUGGCGAGUCAGCUACAUUGCCGUGAAUACGUUCCCGGGCCUUGUACACACCGGAGUGC
rnacentral:rRNA from 1 species